UACAGAGACGUCGAGCGUUGUUCGGAUUCAUUGGGCGUAAAGGGUGCGUAGGCGGUCGGGCAAGUCGGAUGUGAAAUCCCAAGGCUUAACCUUGGAAGUGCAUCCGAAACUACCUGGCUCGAGGACUGGAGGGGAGACUGGAAUUCUCGGUGUAGCGGUGAAAUGCGUAGAUAUCGAGAGGAACACCUGUGGCGAAGGCGGGUCUCUGGACAGUUCCUGACGCUGAGGCGCGAAAGCUAGGGUAGCAAACGGG
rnacentral:rRNA from 1 species